GACGAACGCUGGCGGCGUGCCUAACACAUGCAAGUCGAACGGAAAGGCCCUGCUUUUGUGGGGUGCUCGAGUGGCGAACGGGUGUGUAACACGUGAGUAACCCGCGCUUGACUUUGGGAUAACUUUAGGAAACUGGGGCUAAUACCGGGUAGGAGCUCCUGCUGCAUGGUGGGCGUUGGAAAGUUUCGGCGGUUGGGGAUGGACUCGCGGCUUAUCAGCUUGUUGGUGGGGUAGUGGCUUACCAAGGCUUAGACGGGUAGCCGGCCUGAGAGGGUGGCCGGCGACAUUGGGACUGAGAGACGGCGCAGACUCGUACGGGAGGCAGCAGUGGAGAAUAUUACGCAAUGGGCGGGAGCCUGAUGCGGCAGCGCCGCGUGCGGGAUGACGGCCUUCGGGUUGUAAACCGCUUUCGCCUGUGACGAAGCGUGAGUGACGGUAAUGGGUAAAGAAGCACCGGCUAACUACGUG
rnacentral:rRNA from 1 species